AUUGAACGCUGGCGGCAGGCCUUACACAUGCAAGUCGAACGAGUGGCGGACGGGUGAGUAAUGUCUGGGAAACUGCCCGAUGGCGGGGGAUAACUACUGGAAACGGUAGCUAAUACCGCAUACCAUCGGAUGUGCCCAGAUGGGAUUAGCUAGUAGGUGGGGUAAUGGCUCACCUAGGCGACGAUCCCUAGCUGGUCUGAGAGGACGACCAGCCACACUGGAACUGAGACACGGCCCAGACUCCUACGGGAGGCAGCAGUGGGGAAUAUUGGACAAUGGGCGCAAGCCUGAUGCAGCCAUGCCGCGUGUAUGAAGAAGGCCUUCGGGUUGUAAAGUACUUUCAGCAGGGAGGCGUUACUUGCAGAAGAAGCACCGGCUAACUCCGUGCCAGCAGCCGCGGUAAUAC
rnacentral:rRNA from 1 species